rnacentral:misc_RNA from 1 species
UAGUGCUCACUAACCAAGACA